rnacentral:rRNA from 1 species
AGUCGAGCGGUAGAGAGAAGCUUGCUUCUCUUGAGAGCGGCGGACGGGUGCMKUWWUGCCUAGGAAUCUGCCUGGUAGUGGGGGAYAACGUUCGGAAACGGACGCUAAUACCGCAUACGUCCUAYKGGAGAAAGCAGGGGACCUUCGGGCCUUGCGCUAUCAGAUGAGCCUAGGUCGGAUUAGCUAGUUGGUGGGGUAAUGGCUCACCAAGGCGACGAUCCGUAACUGGUCUGAGAGGAUGAUCAGUCACACUGGAACUGAGACACGGUCCAGACUCCUACGGGAGGCAGCAGUGGGGAAUAUUGGACAAUGGGCGAAAGCCUGAUCCAGCCAUGCCGCGUGUGUGAAGAAGGUCUUCGGAUUGUAAAGCACUUUAAGUUGGGAGGAAGGGUUGUAGAUUAAUACUCUGCAAUUUUGACGUUACCGACAGAAUAAGCACCGGCUAACUCUGUGCCAGCAGCCGCGGUAAUACAGAGGGUGCAAGCGUUAAUCGGAAUUACUGGGCGUAAAGCGCGCGUAGGUUGGUUUGUUAAGUUGGAUGUGA